rnacentral:rRNA from 1 species
GGGGGAAGAAGGCUCUUGGGUUGUAAACCCCUUUUCUCUGGGAAGAAAGUUGUGAAAGCAGCCUGACGGUACCAGAGGAAUCAGCAUCGGCUAACUCCGUGCCAGCAGCCGCGGUAAGACGGAGGAUGCAAGCGUUAUCCGGAAUGAUUGGGCGUAAAGCGUCCGCAGGUGGCAGUUCAAGUCUGCUGUCAAAGACCGGGGCUCAACCUCGGAAAGGCAGUGGAAACUGAACAGCUAGAGUAUGGUAGGGGCAAAGGGAAUUCCUGGUGUAGCGGUGAAAUGCGUAGAGAUCAGGAAGAACAUCGGUGGCGAAGGCGCUCUGCUGGACCAUAA